GGGGUGCUCGAGUGGCGAACGGGUGAGUAACACGUGAGUAACCCGCCCUUGACUUUGGGAUAACUUCAGGAAACUGGGGCUAAUACCGGAUAGGAGCUCCUGCUGCAUGGUGGGGGUUGGAAAGUUUCGGCGGUUGGGGAUGGACUCGCGGCUUAUCAGCUUGUUGGUGGGGUAGUGGCUUACCAAGGCUUUGACGGGUAGCCGGCCUGAGAGGGUGACCGGCCACAUUGGGACUGAGAUACGGCCCAG
rnacentral:rRNA from 1 species